UAAACGGAGAGUUUGAUCCUGGCUCAGGAUGAACGCUGGCGGCGUGCUUAACACAUGCAAGUCGAACGAUUAAAGCCCCUUCGGGGGUGUAUAGAGUGGCGAACGGGUGAGUAACAC
rnacentral:rRNA from 1 species